GUGGGGAAUCUUAGACAAUGGGCGCAAGCCUGAUCUAGCCAUGCCGCGUGAGCGAUGAAGGCCUUAGGGUUGUAAAGCUCUUUCAGUGGGGAAGAUAAUGACUGUACCCACAGAAGAAGCCCCGGCUAACUCCGUGCCAGCAGCCGCGGUAAUACGGAGGGGGCUAGCGUUGUUCGGAAUUACUUGGCGUAAAGCGCACGUAGGCGGACUGGAAAGUCAGGGGUGAAAUCCCGGGGCUCAACCCCGGAACUGCCUUUGAAACUCCCAGUCUUGAGGUCGAGGUAGGUGAGUGUAAUUCCGAGUGUAGAGGUGAAAUUCGUAGAUAUUCGGAGGAACACCAGUGGCGAAGGCGGCUCACUGGCUCGAUACUGACGCUGAGGUGCGAAAGCGUGGGGAGCAAACAGGAUUAGAAACCCCAGUAGUCC
rnacentral:rRNA from 1 species